rnacentral:tRNA from 1 species
GAGCCCGCCUGGGGUAAUGAGAACUGCUAAUUCUCACCACCAUGGUUCGAUUCCAUGGCCCGCUCG